rnacentral:rRNA from 1 species
UACGGAGGAUGCGAGCGUUAUCCGGAUUUAUUGGGUUUAAAGGGUGCGCAGGCGGAGGUGCAAGUCAGCGGUCAAAUGUCGGGGCUCAACCCCGGCCUGCCGUUGAAACUGGCGGCCUCGAGUGGGCGAGAAGUAUGCGGAAUGCGUGGUGUAGCGGUGAAAUGCAUAGAUAUCGCGCAGAACUCCGAUUGCGAAGGCAGCGUACCGGCGCCGGACUGACGCUGAGGCACGAAAGCGCGGGGAUCGAACAGG